ensembl:lncRNA
GAAGCAUCUCUCCUGUACCGUAUACCUCCAGUGCCUGAGUGUUGUAUCUCUAAAGUUGUGGAAGCUAUCUGCCUAGGAGAUGAAAACAUAAGGCCCAGAUGUCAGCUCAGGCUGAGUUGUGCUUGAUGGAGGAGUUCGCCGUGCGUGGGGGAGGCCCACCACAGCUCUCGUGACUCCCAGAGUGCUGGAGUUCACUUGCAUGUGGAAGAAAAACAAAACCUCUGCAACAUUAACUGGCCUCAGAAUCCCUGAUAGAAGACUGCUCUCAAAACUCUUUCAGGAUUCCAAUCUCACUGAUGUCAGCAG